UUUUUUUUUCUUAGUUUGGUUAUAAAAUCUUAAAUUCGUUAUGUGCAAUAGAUCUUCAAAUCUCCCAUUGAAAUAGUUUCAUCAUCAAUCAAAAAAAUGUUGGAACUGAUUUCAGGAUGGUGGUCAUGGUGGUGGGAUGCCAGCAACGAGGGGGAGAAAGUUAUCAGAUCAGUUCUUACUAUAGUAGUCACAAUUACUACAGUGUUCUGUUUGCUGUGGAAUACUGACAAGAAAUCAAAGAAAGCAAUGGCUCCCUUGCCCCCAGGCCCCAAGGGCUUGCCGCUAAUUGGAUAUCUUCCAUUUCUAGGCACUUUCCUUCACAAGAAGUUCACGGAACUGGCAGGUAAGUAUGGCUCUAUCUACAAGCUGUGGCUUGGAAACAAAUUAUGCAUAGUGAUUAGCUCACCAUCACUAGCCAAAGAAGUUUUUCGCGACAAAGAUGCGAUAUUUGCCAACAGAGAUCCACCAACAGCUUCCAGGAUUGCCAGUUACGGUGGAAACGAUAUUGCAUGGUCCUCUUAUGGUCCUGAAUGGAAGAAGAUGCGGAAGGUGUUUGUUCGUGAAAUGCUAAGUAAAGGGACUCUUGAUGCCUGCUAUCCGAUGAGGAAGCAAGAGGUACAGAAUGCUAUAAGAGGUGUGUAUGAAAAGGCAGGCAAUCCCGUAGACUUCGGCGAAUUGGUAUUUGAAAUCAUUGCAAAUGCUAUUAACAGCAUGUUGUGUGGUGGAACGGUCAAAGGAGAGAAAUGGAUUUCUUUUGUUUCAGAGUUCAGGAAAUUGGCAGAGGAACUUAUGGUGCUCCAGGGAAAGCCUAAUGUUUCAGAUCUUUUUCCUGUGCUUGCGAGGUUCGACUUGCAAGGUGUAGAAAGGCAAACCAAAAGGAUACUCUCAUCUUUUGAUCAGGUUCUUACUUCUGUAAUUGAGCAACAUUUGAAUACGGGUCCAAACGUAGAAAAGAGCGAGAGAACGAAGAAUUUCUUGCAGAUUCUUUUGGAUCUUAACAAGCAUGGAGAUGCUGAAACAUCAAUUACCACCAACCAGCUGAAAUCCUUACUAUUAGACAUUGUGGUGGGUGGCACAGACACAACAUCAACCACGCUAGAAUGGACGAUGGCAGAGCUAAUGCUACAUCAAGAAAUAAUGGAAAAAGUCUACCAAGAAUUAGAUGAAGUUGUGGGUCACAGCAACGUUGUGGAAGAGUUCCAUUUGCCAAACUUGCAGCUUUUAAAUGCUGUCAUGAAGGAGACACUUCGUUUGCAUCCAGCACUUCCUCUGUCAGUGCCUCAUAUUUCAAGCCAAUUCUGCACACUAGGUGGCUAUACCAUUCCCAAGGGCAGUACCGUUUUCCUCAAUGUUAAUGCUAUCCACAAGGAUCCCGUUCUUUGGGACAAUGCCUUGGAAUUUAGACCUGAAAGGUUCUUAAACAAGGAUAGUGGCAG
rnacentral:misc_RNA from 1 species